CAGUAGCCGCGGGAAUACGUAGGGGGCAAGCGUUGUCCGGAAUCAUUGGGCGUAAAGCGCGUGUAGGCGGCUCGAUAAGUCUGCUGUGAAAGUCCAGGGCUCAACCCUGGAAUGCCGGUGGAAACUGUCGAGCUCGAGUCCGGAAGAGGCAAGUGGAAUUCCUGGUGUAGCGGUGAAAUGCGCAGAUAUCAGGAGGAACACCAAUGGCGAAGGCAGCUUGCUGGGACGGUACUGACGCUGAGACGCGAAAGCGUGGGGAGCAAACAGGAUUAGAUACCCCAGUAGUCCCUGUCUCUUAUAC
rnacentral:rRNA from 1 species